rnacentral:lncRNA from 1 species
CAGCCCAGUGCAAGUACCAAAGAAAGGAGGGAUGACAGUAGUUAAGAACGACAAUAAUGAGCUAAUUCCAACAAGAACAGUAACUGGCUGGAGGGUGUGCAUUAACUACAGGAAACUGAACAAGGCAACUAGAAAGGACCAUUUCCCACUGCCGUUCAUAGAUCAAAUGUUGGACAGAUUAGCUGGCUACUCUUACUAUUGCUUUCUUGAUGGAUAUUCGGGCUACAACCAGAUUGCUAUAGCACCAGAAGAUCAGGAAAAGACAACCUUCACCUGUCCUUAUGGAACUUUUGCUUACAGACGGAUGCCAUUCGGAUUAUGCAAUGUACCGGCCACUUUUCAGAGAUGCAUGAUGGCAAUCUUUGCAGACAUGGUUGAAGACAUCAUGGAGGUAUUUAUGGAUGAUUUCUCAGUGUUUGGUACUUCUUUUGAUAACUGCCUUCACAAUCUCUCCUUAGUGCUGCAACGCUAUGAGGAAAGGAAUUUAGUUCUCAACUGGGAAAAGUGCCACUUCAUGGUACAAGAAGGUAUUGUGCUAGGCCAUCAUGUUUCGGCGAGAGGAUUGGAAGUGGACAGAGCAAAAAUUGAUACAAUUGAAAAGCUACCACAACCCAUCAAUAUCAAAGGCAUUCGAAGUUUCUUAGGGCACGCUGGAUUCUACAGGAGAUUCAUCAAAGACUUCUCAAAAGUGGCAAAACCCCUAUGUAACCUUUUGGAGAAGGGCACAACGUUCGUAUUUGAUGAAGACUGCUUACGGGCUUUUGAAACCAUAAAGGCAAAAUUAGUCACUGCCCCAGUGAU